UUUAUUGUUAAUAAUUAAAAUUUAAGUUAUUAAUAAUUUAAUUGGGGCGAUAAAAAAAGAAUAAGUAUCUUUUAGUUAAAAAAUAAGUUCCGUUUUUAGCGAUUAAAUGAAAUAAAUACUCUAGGGAUAACAGCGUAAUAAUUUUGGAUAGUUCAUAUAGAUAAAAUAGUUUGCGACCUCGAUGUUGGAUUAGGAUUCUUUUUUAGUGAAGAAGUUAAAGAAAGAAGUUUGUUCAACUUUU
rnacentral:rRNA from 1 species